GGAGUCUGGUCCGUGUCUCAGUACCAGUGUGGGGGACCUUCCUCUCAGAACCCCUACUGAUCGUAGGCCAGGUGGGCCGUUACCCCGCCUGCAACCUAAUCAGACGCAUCCCCAUCCCAUAGCGGUGAACCUUUGUUCCGAAUCAGAUGUCAUCCUCGGAAUACAUAGGGUAUUAAUCCGCAUUUCUACGGGCUAUGCCCUACUAUGGGGAAGGUUGGAUACGCGUUACUCACCCGUGCGCCGGUCGCCAUCUACCAAAGCAAGCUUCGAUAAUGCUGCCCCUCGACUUGCAUGUGUUAAGCCUGUAGCUAGCGUUCAUC
rnacentral:rRNA from 1 species